UAAACCGUUGGGCAACNAGGUGUGGGGGACAUUCCACGUUUUCCGCGCCGUAGCUAACGCAUUAAGUGCCCCGCCUGGGGAGUACGGCCGCAAGGCUAAAACUCAAAGGAAUUGACGGGGGCCCGCACAAGCGGCGGAGCCAUGCGGAUUAAUUCGAUGCAACGCGAAGAACCUUACCAAGGCUUGACAUGGGCCGGACCGGGCUGGAAACAGUCCUUCCCCUUUGGGGCCGGUUCACCAGGUGGUGCAUGGUUGUCGUCAGCUCGUGUCGUGAGAUGUUGGGUUAAGUCCCGCAACGAGCGCAACCCUCGUUCCAUGUUGCCAGCGCGUAAUGGCCGGGGACUCAUGGGAGACUGCCGGGGUCAACUCGGAGGAAGGUGGGGACGACGUCAAAUCAUCAUGCCCCUUAUGUCUUGGGCUUCACGCAUGCUACAAUGGCCGGUACAAAGGGUUGCGAUACUGUGAGGUGGAGCUAAUCCCAAAAAGCCGGUCUCAGUUCGGAUUGGGGUCUGCAACUCGACCCCAUGAAGUCGGAGUCGCUAGUAAUCGCAGAUCAGCAACGCUGCGGUGAAUACGUUCCCGGGCCUUGUACACACCGCCCGUCAAGUCACGAAAGUUGGUAACACCCGAAGCCGGUGGCCUAACCCCUUGUGGGAGGGAGCUGUCGAAGGUGGGACUGGCGAUUGGGACUAAGUCGUAANAAGGUACC
rnacentral:rRNA from 1 species